AAGAUGAAUAAUAUAUAAAAUAAUAAUAUAAGCGAAACUUAAAAAAAGUAUUAUAUGAAAGGAAAUUUAAAAUUAGCAAUAUACAAAUAAUUUAAAUAACAUAUAUUAAUCUAAAGAAAUUACAUUCAUAGAAUAAAAAAUAAUUUAAUAUGAACUAUGUUGGACUCAAUUUUUACCCGGCCCAAAAUACAAUUCAUUAAACACAACUCUCAAACCAAAGAAUCAAACAGUCCAACUUUAGGCCCAAAAUACAAAAAAUAGACUAAACCCUAGCCCAAGCUUUUAGCCCAAUAACUUAAAACUUUUUCCAGCAAAGUGAAAAUUGCUGGCAAGCUGCUGCUCGUGCCCACGCCCAACGCCCCUCCCCCGCACGUCGCGCGCCUCCUCCGAGUCGUACGCCCUUCACCAAGCCACGUCAGAGGCGUACCCGCCUAAGAACCUACAAACGUGUAGAACAGAUUGCAAAAGAGUCGGCUAUAAAACCGAAACAAAGCAAUUGUAAAAGGGACGUUUUUUUCCCUCACAGCAGAAUACACAAGCAAUAGAACAUCAACAAAAGCCCGUUUACAGUCUUAAGAGGUGUUUUUUUUUCUUUUCUUUGGAUUUUCGGUUAAUGUUUGUUUUUUUCCCUCUCUAUCGAUUUUAUAAACUGUUUUUUAAAAAAGAAAAAGAAAAAAGGAGACCCUCCUGGGUUCACGCCGUGAUCGGUGUUGGAGACGGAGGCAUAGAAAUACCGAUAAUCCUCCAUUGCGGCUUCUUCAGAGUUGGGUUGAAAUCUUAACUGAGAUUUGGGUAGGGGUGUUAUUCUUUUUUUCAAAAAUGGCAGAGCAAAUGAGGUGGGUUAAAUGCUUGGGUUUCACCAAAUAAAUGCCAUUCAAUGGCUUUUGUUUUAAAUGGGAAUUGAAAUAGCACCGUUUGGUGCUGGACCCACACACUUUGGCUCAAAAUGGGUAAUUUGUGUGUUGA
rnacentral:lncRNA from 1 species